rnacentral:lncRNA from 1 species
AUUCUUUCCUCUCUACUUGAUUGUCUUACUGGUUUGCUGUACCACUGGGGCUGGGUUAUCCUUUCAUAAGCUGAGGCCCAC